GUCCACGCCCUAAACGAUGUCAACUGGUUGUUGCACGGCUUGCUGUUCAGUAACGAAGCUAACGCGUGAAGUUGACCGCCUGGGGAGUACGGCCGCAAGGUUGAAACUCAAAGGAAUUGACGGGGACCCCGCACAAGCGGUGGAUGAUGUGGUUUAAUUCGAUGCAACGCGAAAACCUUACCUACCCUUGACAUGUCUAGAAUCCCGAAGAGAUUUGGGAGUGCUCGAAAGAGAGCUAGAACACAGGUGCUGCAUGGCCGUCGU
rnacentral:rRNA from 1 species